AGGAAGCUGGUUUCAUAUGGUGGUUUAGAUUUAACUACUUAUUGUCUAGCACCAUUUGAAAUCAGUGUUCU
rfam:Alligator mississippiensis ScZkoYb_8, whole genome shotgun sequence.